GCUCACUUUGGCAGCAUAUACUAAAACUGGAAUGAUACAGAGAUUAUUAGCACAGCUGCUGGGAAAGGAUGACAUGCAACUUCGUGACGCAUUGCAUAUUCUU
ensembl:snRNA U6 U6 spliceosomal RNA